CUACGGGAUGCAGCAGUGGGGAAUAUUGGACAAUGGGGGAAACCCUGAUCCAGCAAUGCCGCGUGUGUGAAGAAGGCCUGCGGGUUGUAAAGCACUUUCGGUUGGGAGGACUGCUUCUAGCACUAAUAUUGUUGGAAGUUGACGUUACCUUCAGAAGAAGCACCGGCUAACUCCGUGGCCAGCAGCCGCGGUAAUACGGAGGGUACAAGCGUUAAUCGGAAUUACUGGGCGUAAAGCGCGCGUAGGCGGCUAGAUCAGUCGGGUGUGAAAGCCCCGGGCUUAACCUGGGAACUGCAUCCGAUACUGUCUAGCUUGAGUACAGGAGAGGAGAGUGGAAUUCCACAUGUAGCGGUGAAAUGCGUAGAUAUGUGGAGGAACACCAAUGGCGAAGGCAGCUCUCUGGCCUGAUACUGACGCUGAGGUGCGAAAGCGUGGGGAGCAAACAGGAUUAGAUACCCCUGUAGUC
rnacentral:rRNA from 1 species